rnacentral:rRNA from 1 species
UACAGAGGUCUCAAGCGUUGUUCGGAUUCAUUGGGCGUAAAGGGUGCGUAGGCGGCGCGGUAAGUCGGGUGUGAAAUCUCGGAGCUUAACUCCGAAACUGCAUUCGAUACUGCCGUGCUUGAGGACUGGAGAGGAGACUGGAAUUUACGGUGUAGCGGUGAAAUGCGUAGAUAUCGUAAGGAAGACCAGUGGCGAAGGCGGGUCUCUGGACAGUUCCUGACGCUGAGGAC